rnacentral:lncRNA from 1 species
AGAAGGCGUCUUCAUAAACGCCUUUCUUCUCCGUUUCCGUUUCCUCGUUCGAAUUCGCUUUUUGAUCUGCGAAAAUGAGAGAGUGCAUCUCGAUCCACAUUGGUCAGGCUGGUAUCCAGGUCGGAAAUGCUUGCUGGGAGCUCUACUGCCUCGAGCACGGCAUCGGGGUGAGUCUUCAAUCUCAAGCAUCGUUAGUCUUACUUUUUUCGAUUUUUGAUUCAGAUCUGUGCUGUGAAGGCUUGUUUCGUGCAUUUCGCUGUUGACAUUUGUAUCCGUUUCUCAGAUCUAAGGAAAUUUGAACGUUGUUUUUGAAAUUUCAGAUGUUUAUGGUUUUUCUCUUAGAUCCGUGCGUUUUGAACUCUAGCUUGUUGGCAUUGUGUUUGAAAUCUGAUCAUUUUUCCGUUUAUUAUUACUAUAGAUCCGUUCUCUUACUAUUGCGUUUUCGCAGCUUGAAAUCACAUUUUUUUCCGUUUGUCCUACCAGAUCUGUUUUGUUAGUGCAUUUUCUAAAUCGUUUAUAGAGCUGUAACAUUUUGUAACCUGGCUGCUUUAUGCUUGCUGUUCAACUUAAACUGUGCUUUCGUUUUCCGUGUUCGGAUCUGUAUGAGUAGCUAGUGAAUCAUUUUUAUUAGAUCGUUCUGAUUAAAUCGUUUUGUUUAGGGGUUAGAUUUUAUGUUUAUGCUUCUGGAGUUGUUGGAGUAAUUGCUCUUCAAUCAAAUUACGAACAAUUACGUAUACUGUUUGGUGAAAUUUUUAAUGUGAUUUUGAAAAAUGUAUUUAUGGAAUGCUGAUGUUUAGAAUUGCUAUUUCUGUGCAGCCCGAUGGGCAAAUGCCAAGUGACAAGACAGUUGGCGGUGGUGAUGAUGCUUUCAAUACUUUCUUCAGCGAGACUGGUGCUGGAAAGCACGUGCCACGUGCAGUGUUUGUAGAUCUUGAGCCCACUGUUAUUGAUGAGGUGAGAACCGGAACUUACCGCCAGCUUUUCCACCCAGAGCAGCUCAUCAGCGGCAAAGAAGAUGCCGCCAACAACUUUGCCCGUGGCC